rnacentral:rRNA from 1 species
AAAUUGAAGAGUUUGAUCAUGGCUCAGAUUGAACGCUGGCGGCAGGCCUAACACAUGCAAGUCGAACGGUAACAGGAAACAGCUUGCUGUUUCGCUGACGAGUGGCGGACGGGUGAGUAAUGUCUGGGAAACUGCCCGAUGGAGGGGGAUAACUACUGGAAACGGUAGCUAAUACCGCAUAACGUCGCAAGACCAAAGAGGGGGACCUUCGGGCCUCUUGCUAUCGGAUGUGCCCAGAUGGGAUUAGCUAGUAGGUGGGGUAACGGCUCACCUAGGCGACGAUCCCUAGCUGGUCUGAGAGGAUGACCAGCCACACUGGAACUGAGACACGGUCCAGACUCCUACGGGAGGCAGCAGUGGGGAAUAUUGCACA